AGUGAACGCUGGCGGUAGGCCUAACACAUGCAAGUCGAACGGCAGCACAGUAAGAGCUUGCUCUUACGGGUGGCGAGUGGCGGACGGGUGAGGAAUACAUCGGAAUCUACUUUUUCGUGGGGGAUAACGUAGGGAAACUUACGCUAAUACCGCAUACGACCUACGGGUGAAAGCAGGGGAUCUUCGGACCUUGCGCGAUUGAAUGAGCCGAUGUCGGAUUAGCUAGUUGGCGGGGUAAAGGCCCACCAAGGCGACGAUCCGUAGCUGGGCUGAGAGGAUGAUCAGCCACACUGGAACUGAGACACGGUCCAGACUCCUACGGGAGGCAGCAGUGGGGAAUAUUGGACAAUGGGCGCAAGCCUGAUCCAGCCAUACCGCGUGGGUGAAGAAGGCCUUCGGGUUGUAAAGCCCUUUUGUUGGGAAAGAAAUCCAGCCGGCUAAUACCUGGUUGGGAUGACGGUACCCAAAGAAUAAGCACCGGCUAACUUCGUG
rnacentral:rRNA from 1 species